rnacentral:lncRNA from 1 species
CUUCCUCCAGCAGUGCAAUGUGAUCCACCAGCAAGGAGGGAUGCCAAUAAGGCAUCCGAUAAGAUGGCAGUAGGGCUCGAGCGGCUUUGACAGAAAGAUUUAUCGUAACAGUGCUUGGAUUCCCAGCACCCGUGUAAAGCUGGUGCAGGAGCCUAUGUUGAAAUCCCAGCACUGGGAGAAGGGAGCAGAGAUGGGCAGAUGCUGGGGACUUCCUGCCAGAGACUAUGUUGAUGUCACGAUCCGUGCAGUCACUGGCUGCUACGGGCGGGGAGGCAUCUGUUGCAGAGGGUAUGGAUGACUGCAGACUCGUAACUGAAAAUUCGAGACACAGACGGUGUCUUUGCCAACCUCUCCCCACUCUACCUUCCAAUAAAACAGAAACAGUCCAGACAUGAAGCUUUGAGGAGAAUCCUUAAAACUUCUGAUAAAG